CUACGGGCCGCUGCAGUAAGGAAUAUUGGGCAAUGGACGCAAGUCUGACCCAGCCAUGCCGCGUGCAGGAUGACAGCCCUACGGGUUGUAAACUGCUUUUGUACGGGAAAAAUUCCCUGGUCGUGUACCGGGGUUGAUGGUACCGUAAGAAUAAGCAUCGGCUAACUCCGUGCCAGCAGCCGCGGUAAUACGGAGGAUGCAAGCGUUAUCCGGAUUUAUUGGGUUUAAAGGGUGCGCAGGCGGAAUGAUAAGUCAGUGGUGAAAUCCUACAGCUUAACUGUAGAACUGCCAUUGAUACUGUUGUUCUUGAGUACAUUUGUAGUGGGCGGAAUGUGUCAUGUAGCGGUGAAAUGCUUAGAGAUGACACAGAACACCGAUCGCGAAGGCAGCUCACUAAACUGUAACUGACGCUCAGGCACGAAAGCGUGGGGAUCAAACAGGAUUAGAUACCCUUGUAGUC
rnacentral:rRNA from 1 species